GAUGAACGCUGGCGGCGUGCCUAAUACAUGCAAGUCGAGCGAACAGACGAGGAGCUUGCUCCUCUGACGUUAGCGGCGGACGGGUGAGUAACACGUGGAUAACCUACCUAUAAGACUGGGAUAACUUCGGGAAACCGGAGCUAAUACCGGAUAAUAUAUUGAACCGCAUGGUUCAAUAGUGAAAGACGGUUUUGCUGUCACUUAUAGAUGGAUCCGCGCCGCAUUAGCUAGUUGGUAAGGUAACGGCUUACCAAGGCAACGAUGCGUAGCCGACCUGAGAGGUGGAUCGGCACACUGGAACCGAGACACGGUCCCGAAUCCUAAGGGAGGCCGCAGUAGGGAAUUCUGCGCAAUGGGCGGAAGCCUGAACGAGCCAAGCCGGGUGGGUGAAGAAGGUCUUCGGGUUGUAAAACCCUUUUAUUAGGGAAGAACAAAUGUGUAAGUAACUAUGCACGUCUUGACGGUACCUAAUCAGAAAGCCACGGCUAACUACGUG
rnacentral:rRNA from 1 species